GAUGAACGCUAGCGGCGUGCCUAAUACAUGCAAGUCGAGCGAACAGAUGAGGAGCUUGCUCCUCUGACGUUAGCGGCGGACGGGUGAGUAACACGUGGAUAACCUACCUAUAAGACUGGGAUAACUUCGGGAAACCGGAGCUAAUACCGGAUAAUAUAUUGAACCGCAUGGUUCAAUAGUGAAAGACGGUUUUGCUGUCACUUAUAGAUGGAUCCGCGCCGCAUUAGCUAGUUGGUAAGGUAACGGCUUACCAAGGCAACGAUGCGUAGCCGACCUGAGAGGGUGAUCGGCCACACUGGAACUGAGACACGGUCCAGACUCCUACGGGAGGCAGCAGUAGGGAAUCUUCCGCAAUGGGCGAAAGCCUUACGGAGCAACGCCGCGUGAGUGAUGAAGGUCUUCGGAUCGUAAAACUCUGUUAUUAGGGAAGAACAAAUGUGUAAGUAACUAUGCACGUCUUGACGGUACCUAAUCAGAAAGCCACGGCUAACUACGUG
rnacentral:rRNA from 1 species